CCGAGCGUGCAACAAGCACACGUGCUUUUUGCCACCUGGGCGGGAAGGAGAUGUAGGGGAAACCGUAUCUGACGGGGACCCGAAGUAACACCGCCAUUGACGAAAAGACACUGUUUGCUACAAUGACUGGGUUGUCUCGCCAGAUGACUCAGUUUGCUACCAAAGUCUGCCAGCAGUUAGCGUGGGUCCGCGAUGAUUCGGUGACUUGUAAUGAGAGACUGAGUGGUUUAGUCCUUGAGUCGUUUAGUCGUUGAGUCCAAGGCCUCGUGUUCCGAAGAGCUGCAGAGGAAAAGGUGCCAAAACAACCCAAACAUUGUGCUGCUGGAGGCGAGGGCAGGUUGUGUGCUUAAAGCAGAGGAGCAUGCAUUUUAGAAAGAGGUCACCGCUGAUCUUAUGUCAGAUGAGGAAAAUGGCAGCUUCGAGGGGGCGUCUGGUUGGAUUGUGCGGCCCCCAAGUUUCUGCAGCCAGGAGUUCAGUGACCUCUGUUUGAAGUUACAGAGGAGACUGGAGGCGGACCCAAAGUACAGUCUGACUCAUCACAGGCAUCUGCACAUUGGGGACCUAUCUGCACGAACGCCACUUUCACAUGGUCCAGAACUGGACAAGUUUUUUAACUCUUCUGUGAAAUUUCAUGUUUAAUUUCGAUUUUUUUUAUUUUUAUAUAAAGUCAAGCAUG